rnacentral:rRNA from 1 species
UACAGAGGUCUCAAGCGUUGUUCGGAUUUAUUGGGCGUAAAGGGUGCGUAGGCGGCUCCGUAAGUCGGGUGUGAAAUUUCGGAGCUUAACUCCGAAACUGCAUUCGAUACUGCGGUGCUUGAGGACUGGAGAGGAGACUGGAAUUCAUGGUGUAGCAGUGAAAUGCGUUGAUAUCAUCAGGAAUACCGGAGGCGAAGGCGGCUCACUGGGGGUCUUCUGACGCUGAGGAACGAAAGCCAGGGGAGCGAACGGG